rnacentral:tRNA from 1 species
GCGGAAGUGGCGGAACUGGCAGACGCGCACGGUUCAGGUCCGUGUGGGCGUAAGCCCUUGAGGGUUCAACUCCCUUCUUCCGCACCA